ACCGGCGGAUGGGUGAGUAACGCGUAGGUAAUCUGCCUUCAGGACGGGAUAACCCACCGAAAGGUGAGCUAAUACCGGAUGAUGCAGCGGGGCCGCAUGGCCACAGUUGUUAAAUCCUUCGGGAGCCUGGAGAUGAACCUGCGUGCCAUUAGCUAGUUGGUAGGGUCAAAGCCUACCAAGGCGAUGAUGGCUAGGGGGUCUGAGAGGAUGAUCCCCCACACUGGGACUGAGACACGGCCCAGACUCCUACGGGAGGCAGCAGUGAGGAAUCUUGCGCAAUGGGGGCAACCCUGACGCAGCCACGCCGCGUGCUGGAAGACGGCCCUAUGGGUUGUAAACAGCUUUUACUGGGGAAGAACCUGGACCUUUCGAGGACCACUGACGGUACCCAGUGAAUAAGCACCGGCUAACUCCGUGCCAGCAGCCGCGGUAAUACGGAGGGUGCAAGCGUUGUCCGGAAUCAUUGGGUGUAAAGGGUGUGCAGGCGGAAGUCUAAGUCGGAGGUGAAAUCUUGCCGCUUAACGGUAAAAGGGCCUUCGAAACUGGAUUUCUUGAGUUCGGAAGAGGUUGGUGGAAUUCGUGGUGUAGCGGUGAAAUGCAUAGAUAUCACGAAGAACACCGGUGGCGAAGGCGGCCAACUGGUCCGAUACUGACGCUGAGACACGAGAGCGUGGGGAGCGAACAGGAUUAGAUACCCUGGUAGUCCACGCUGUAAA
rnacentral:rRNA from 1 species